CCUACGGGAGGCAGCAGUGGGGAAUAUUGGGCAAUGGGCGCAAGUCUGACCCAGCCACGCCGCGUGCAGGAAGAAGGCUUUCGGGUUGUUAACUUCUUUUCGCAGGGACGUAGCAAGUGACGGUAGCUGCGGAAUAAGCCACGGCUAACUACGUGCCAGCAGCCGCGGUAAUACGUAGGUGGCAAGCGUUAUCCGGAUUUACUGGGUGUAAAGGGCGUGUAGGCGGUAAGGCAAGUCAGAGGUGAAAAGCAUGGGCUCAACCUGUGGCCUGCCUUUGAAACUGUUUGUCUUGAGUACUGGUGAGGCAGACGGAAUGUCUGGUGUAGCGGUGAAAUGCGUAGAGAUUAGGAGGAACACCAGUGGCGAAGGCGGUCUGCUAGACAGCAACUGACGCUGAGGCGCGAAAGCGUGGGGAGCAAACAGGAUUAGAUACCCGAGUAGUC
rnacentral:rRNA from 1 species